GAUUUGUAGGUUUUUUUCUAUGUACAUGCAUGCCUAAUGAGAAGUUGCCUAGGAAAAUAGAUGUGCAAAUAAAAAGCAUAAUUUCACAAAAGGUGGGAAAACAGUUUGUGUUGAGUCACUUCAUAAUAACAUAAGGAGAUCAUUUUAAAAAAAAACAAACAGCCCUGCAUUUUUGGAGACUUUGUAGAAUGUAAGAUGCUGCUACUAAUCAUAGCACCCCUGUUGCCCCCCCCCAUUUUU